UUCGAAUAUCGAUAAAUGUCGGUCGAUGAACAGGCCCAACAGCACCGGCAAAAUAUUUCAUCGAUUAGAGUUUCGUUCAAAGUCGUCGUUGACAUAUCAAGUAACACAUUUCGUUCGCAAUUACUCGAAAGAUCUGUAUGAACAAAACAUUGUUAUGUAAAUAGUGAUCUUAUAAUUAGAGAUAAAACAAUGAUUCACAAACAGUACGCACAUGUACAAAUAUUUUUUAGGAAAUAAAAGAAAAAGAAGUGGAAAAUCUAACCUAACGUCUAUAAACUUUGGCGCACAUGUAUCAGAAUAUGACAAAAGAAGAUAAUAUAGAAAACGGUAAAUGGGCGUUCAAUACUAAUAUGUAUAGAUGACAUACUAUAAAAUUUAUUAAAUAUGUUAUAUAUAUAUAUAUUUUUUAUAUUUUUUAGUUAUAUAUAUAUAUAUAUAAUAUAUAUAUAUACAAUCAGCCUGGUUAUACGUUUUAUAACCGUAUGCUAUCAAGUUCUUUAAUAUUGUUCCUUUUUACUUGCCAAUUCGAAAGAAGUUAAAACCCAAAAUGAAACGAUCGCUUUUUGGACAGUUUCGUAUAUGUAUAUACAUAUAUACAUCGAAGGCUCAUCGAAAGAAGCGUAUCAAGUAACACAUAUUACGUGUUAAUAUAUAUAUAUAUAUAUACUUUCGUUUCUUCUGCUCGUUUCUUAUUUCAUUCGAUUCGGGCGAUGUAUUUGUUUAAAAAGCGUUCGUUUAGUUCAAUCCAACGAGGGUCGUAUCUAUUGGAUCCACUAGGUUUCAAACGUUCUCUGGAUUAUUUGAUUAAUAUAUGUUUCUCCGUUAAACGCGUAAAGAUGAGCAUAUCCGAAUAAUUAGCAAGAACUCUUUGAAGAGCUCUAAAGGACGGCGAAGGACGCAAAUUAUAAAAGUGAAAGCUAGCGGACCCAUGGUCUAGGAUUCGGAUGAAAAUGCUUGAUCUCUUGUUCAAAAUGUGUAAAGAAUCUGAAGGAAAGCACAAUAACUUAUUAAAUACUACAGACGACAUUCAAUACAAUGGCAACCAAAGGGCACAAAUUUUUCGCUCAGGUUUUUAUAUACGAAAUAAAUAUUCAUUAGGCAUGCAGUGUUACGAAAGAAAAAUUUGUGAAUCGGAAAGUUUCAUCGAUCGGCUUUGCUCAUUUACAGUUAAUUCGCAAUAUUGUUUUGGUAACAUAUGAAAAGUACGUUAGUAUUGAGAUUGCCUUGGGAGAAGGACAUUCACUUUCUUAAAAAUUCGCGAAGCGUCUUCGAUAGAUUGAAAAACCGAGGUCAUGUAUAACUAUUAUGAAACUAUUGAACUAUUUCAUUCACUGUAAAAUAAUCUACUGUACUGUAAAAUGAUGAUGAUGAUGAUGAUGAUGAUGAUGAUGGUGAUGGCGGUGAUGAUGAUGGUGGUGAUGAUGACGAUGAUGAUGAUAAUGACGAUGACAGGGUAGCAGUGGCAAUGGUGUUGAUAACGGUACUGGUAGUGAUAGUGAUGGAAGUGACGAUUAUAAAGAUGAUGCUAAUAAUGACAAUAAUGGUGAUGAAAAUGAUAACAACGAUAUUACGAAGAAACAGAAAACUAGAGCAAAAAGGAAAACGAGAGUAAAGGAAUUAGAAUAUAAAGUUGGCGCUAGGGAUAAUAAUAGGAUAUCAUACAGGCUAGGAUCUGUUAGAAGUUAAUCUCACCGGUUGCAACAAGUGUUUGCUCCUAUCGGCAACAAAUUGACAGAAACGCAGGUCGUGGGAGCCAGGGAAAGCGGGCAUCCCCUUCAUCUGAGCGAACGAACGAGCCACCAGGUUUUAAACGUUGAAAAUAUGCAGUUCAUUGGCAAUUUCAAUUUUUCGAAAAGAGAAGAAAAAUUGCGUAUAAAAUUGUACAUUUGGCUGGAAAUUCAAAUUUUUCAUUUAUUAAUCGACAAAGUGCUCUCGGAUAGAAAUCCUAAGUAAAAACAAAAACAAAAAUGGAAACGGAAACAAAAACGAAAUAAAGAUAUUUAUAGAAAAUGAAACCAACGAAAUUAACCAAUGAAGUUCGAUUUUCUCAAUUUGUUUUGUAAUGCCAUUUAUCGCUCAAUUUUUCAUUAACCCAAACAUUCCUGAAGUGAUAAAACGUUACAAAAAUGCAGACUUGUUACUUCCUUUCUCUUCCUUUCUUCCUUUUACUUCGACGAAACAUAUGAAUAUGUACACAUGGAAAACAGAAACAUCGGAUAGUAGAUCAGAAACAUCUGGGUUAAGUCCAGAGUAGGAAUACAACACACGUAAAGGUGUAAACGUUUUAUAAGACAAACAUACGACUGUACAAUGCUGGAUAUAUAAAUAUACGAAUUAUCUGUCUGUCAUAAUUGUGAAAGGUGGGGGAA